CCACCGUUAUCGGGCUAAAUCGCUUAAUUGCGAACGACAACUUUGCGGGCGAAGCCCGUCUCGCUGCUUAGUCUGACUAGGUAAGCGCGGCCCGGGGGGCGCCGGGCAACAGAAGCCCCCCACU
rnacentral:tmRNA from 1 species